rnacentral:tRNA from 1 species
AGUCGGGUAGCUCAGUGUUAGAGCAAUCGCCCGACAAGCGAGAGACUCGGGUUCGAUUCCCGGUCCGGCGG